GCCAAGAGAUCGGGAUAACACCUGGAAACAGAUGCUAAUACCGGAUAACAACAGAUGAUGCCUAUCAACUGUUUAAAAGAUGGUUCUGCUAUCACUCUUGGAUGGACCUGCGGUGCAUUAGCUAGUUGGUAGGGUAACGGCCUGCCAAGGCGAUGAUGCAUAGCCGAGUUGAGAGACUGAUCGGCCACAUUGGGACUGAGACACGGCCCAAACUCCUACGGGAGGCAGCAGCC
rnacentral:rRNA from 1 species